AAUAUAGGAAUAGCGCCAGGCCUGUUGUUUCAGGUGACGAGGAGAGAGCUUAUCGAAACAUUCGGCGGAUAGCUCUAGGGGCUGCACUCUACAAGCUGGAAAUAAAAAAUAAUUGCAAAAUUAUAACAAAGAUUCAGCUAAGCAGAAUA
rfam:Enterococcus sp. 9D6_DIV0238 scaffold00002, whole genome shotgun sequence.